GGGCGGAUGGUUUAGUGGAAUAAUACUUCUAUUGUUAGGAGUGGUCCAGGGUUCGAGUCCCUGUUCGCCCA
rnacentral:tRNA from 1 species